CAGUCGCCGCGGGAAAACGAAGGGUGCAAGCGUUACUCGGAAUUACUGGGCGUAAAGCGUGCGUAGGUGGUGGUUUAAGUCCGUUGUGAAAGCCCUGGGCUCAACCUGGGAAUUGCAGUGGAUACUGGGUCACUAGAGUGUGGUAGAGGAUAGUGGAAUUUCCGGUGUAGCAGUGAAAUGCGUAGAGAUCGGAAGGAACAUCUGUGGCGAAGGCGACUAUCUGGGCCAACACUGACACUGAGGCACGAAAGCGUGGGGAGCAAACAGGAUUAGAUACCCGGGUAGUCCCUGUCUCUUAUAC
rnacentral:rRNA from 1 species